CGCACAUUGCGCCCCUUGGUAUUCCGAGGGGCAUGCCUGUUCGAGCGUCAUUACAACCCUCAAGCACUGCUUGGUAUUGGGCUCCGCUGGUUUCAGCGGGCCUUAAAAUCAGUGGCGGCGCCGUCUGGUCUCUGAGCGUAGUAAAUAUCCUCGCUAUAGAGACCAGGAGGUUCUCGCCAUUAACCCCUAACUUUCUAAGUUUGACCUCGGAUCAGGUAGGGAUACCCGCUGAACUUAA
rnacentral:misc_RNA from 1 species